UAUUAUAUAACUGAGGAACACCCAUAACAUAUUUUGCAAAUUUUAUAAGGAAAAGUUUGUUUUGUUUUGUGUUGUGUUGUUUGGUUUGGUUUGGUCUGGCUUUUGUUUUGCUUUGUUUUGUUUUGUUUUGUUUUGUUUUUAAUACAGGAGUCAUGUGCAAGUAAUUGCAGGAGUUCAGAGGCUGUGGCUUUAAGAACUCCACAAGUUAUCCUAAGAAUGGGAAAGAAUUUUUCAGAUGGUGACCUAGAAAGUGGGAGUUUUUUCUGGAGACUGAGACUAGAAUUGAGAAAUGCUGAAUGCUAAUGAAAGCUGAACUGGAAAAACAGACUAGAAAAAAGGACCCAACCUGCAAGGAAAAGAUAAAGAGAAAAAAAAGCAGGGAGAGGUGAACAAGGCCAAAAGAACGUAAACCAAAGAAGUAAACUCUGCAAAUCUUGAUGAAUACAACUCCACUGAUUAUACAUCUUUGAGCAUAUUAUGAUCCAUAUCUCCAACUAAUAAAAGACUAAAAGAUUGCCUUUGUUAGGAAAAUCAUAAAAAUGAAUUUAAAAGUACAUAAAGUAACAGCAAGAAAUUCUGUUGUAUUCCAUUUUGAUGAAGGCAGACACAGUUAGAGAAAAACACAGGCAUAACAUUUCUAACCAAGGCUGAAGAGAUCAGAGUUUUGUUGGUAAAGUUAAGGAGGCAUUCUCAAAGAAAGGGUAAGUAUGAGAUCCAACACAAAACCAGGAUGAAUUCUUCAAGGGAAGGAGGUAGAAGCUGUGUUUAUUUAUUUAUUUAUUUAUUUUUGCUUUCAGUAUAUGCAAUAAAUAUACAGUUAAGUAAAAAGAUGAGCUGAAAAAAAAUUAUGUUGUAGAGUUGACAGGAGUCAGAAAAUAGAGUUUUUUUCCUAAAGUACUGCACAAAAUUCAAGGAGAGAAAAUGUGUCAUUGAGGGGUGU
ensembl:lncRNA